AACGUAGGAGACAAACGUUAUCCGGAGUUACUGGGCGUAAAGGGCACGUAGGCGUGAAUCCGGUUGAAAGUGAAAGUCGCCAGCUCAACUGGCGGAAUGCUUUCAAAACCAAUUCACUUGAGUAAGAUAGAGGAUAGUGGAAUUUCGUGUGUAGAGAUAAAAUUCACAGAUAUACGAAGGAACACCAAAAGCGAAGGCAGCUUUCUGGGUCUCUACUGACGCUGAGGUGCGAAAGCAUAGGGAGCAAACAGG
rnacentral:rRNA from 1 species